rnacentral:rRNA from 1 species
CGAAGGGAGAAAUUCAUUCGCGUUUCGUUGACGGCGUAGUUCGAUUCUGCGACGGGGGCGUGCUUGCACGUUUCCCGCGCGUUUCGUUCGACGAGCCGACGACGAACGCGUGCACUUUUCUCCUGGUAGGACGUCGCGAUCCGUUGGGUGUCGAUCUACGAUCCACGGUGGAGCCCGUCGACGGCGUUUCGGCGCUCGUUAACGGACCCGUGAAAUCCGGUCGACUCGCUCGACGGUAUACGAACGGUUAGGGGCCGCUCCUAUGAGCGUUCGACCGAUGGCAAGCGCGCCGAAUCAGUUGGCGAUCGGACCUGGUGCCGAUUCCGACAUUCGGUGACUGUUGGCUGUCGAGUUCUCGGACAGACCUCUUAAAACCGAUCUGCGACGCUAUAGCUUUGGGUAAUUUCAGGACCCGUCUUGAAACACGGACCAAGGAGUCUAGCAUGUACGCGAGUCAUUGGGAAGCAAUAAACCUAAAGGCGUAAUGAAAGUGAAGAUCUUCCUUGCGGAGAUCGAGGGAAGAGGGGCGUCUUCUUGACGCUCCGCAUUCCCGGGGCGUCUCGUUCUCAUCGCGAGAUGAGGCGCACCAAGAGCGUACACGCUGGGACCCGAAAGAUGGUGAACUAU